UAUAAACAGUUUAAGUUGUUUCAAACAGUUUUCCAUGCUUCAACCACCUUUCCUUUUUUUCAAAUUGCAGGACUGCAGCCAUGUUACCAUCCAAAAGAGCAGGUAG
rnacentral:lncRNA from 1 species